rnacentral:rRNA from 1 species
UAAGACGAACCGUGCGAACGUUAUUCGGAAUCACUGGGCUUAAAGCGCGUGUAGGCGGGGCGGUGCGUCGGUCGCUGAAAUCCCCCGGCUCAACCGGGGAAGGGGCGCCGAGACGACCGCCCUGGAGCGACGUAGGGGGAACUGGAACUUCCGGUGGAGCGGUGAAAUGCGUUGAGAUCGGAAGGAACGCCCGUGGCGAAAGCGAGUUCCUGGACGUCGGCUGACGCUGAGACGCGAAAGCCAGGGGAGCGAACGGGAUUAGAUACCCCGGUAGUCCUGGCCGUAAACGAUGGGCACUGGGUAGGGGGCUCGCCGAUGGGCUCCCUGCCGUAGGGAAACCGUGAAGUGCCCCGCCUGGGGAGUAUGGUCGCAAGGCUG